GACGAACGCUGGCGGCGUGCUUAACACAUGCAAGUCGAACGGAAAGGCCUCUUUCGGGGGGUACUCGAGUGGCGAACGGGUGAGUAACACGUGAGUAACCUGCCCUUGACUUUGGGAUAACUUCAGGAAACUGGGGCUAAUACCGGAUAGGAGCUCCUGCUGCAUGGUGGGGGUUGGAAAGUUUCGGCGGUUGGGGAUGGACUCGCGGCGUAUCCGCUUGUUGGUGGGGUAGUGGCUUACCAAGGCUUUGACGGGUAGCCGGCCUGAGAGGGUGACCGGCCACAUUGGGACUGAGAUACGGCCCAGACUCCUACGGGAGGCAGCAGGGGGGAAGAUUGCACAAGGGGUGGAAGCCUGAUGCAGCAACGCCGUGGGCGGGAUGACGGCCUUCGUGUUGUAAACCGCUUUCGCUCAUGACGAAGCUUUGUGUGACGGUAGUGGGUAAAGAAGCACCGGCUAACUACGUG
rnacentral:rRNA from 1 species